rnacentral:rRNA from 1 species
UACGUAGGGCGCAAGCGUUGUCCGGAAUCAUUGGGCGUAAAGAGCUCGUAGGUGGUCUGUUACGUCUGCUGUGAAAUCCUAGGGCUUAACCCUGGGCCUGUAGUGGAUACGGGCAGACUAGAGGUAGGUAGGGGAGAAUGGAAUUCCCGGUGUAGCGGUGAAAUGCGCAGAUAUCGGGAGGAACACCGGUGGCGAAGGCGGCAUCCUGGACCAACACUGACGCUGAGUGAGCGAAAGCCAGGGGAGCAAACGGG